GCCGUCGCCAAGCGGUAAGGCACUGGGUUUUGAUCCCAGUAUUCGCAGGUUCGACAAUUUUGUCGGGAACA
rnacentral:tRNA from 1 species